rnacentral:rRNA from 1 species
UGGGGAAUUUUGGGGCAAUGGGGGAAACCCUGACCCAGCAACGCCGCGUGAAGGAUGAAGUAUUUCGGUAUGUAAACUUCGAAAGAAUAGGAAGAAUAAAUGACGGUACUAUUUAUAAGGUCCGGCUAACUACGUGCCAGCAGCCGCGGUAAUACGUAGGGACCAAGCGUUGUUCGGAUUUACUGGGCGUAAAGGGCGCGUAGGCGGCAUGACAAGUCACUUGUGAAAUCUCUGGGCUUAACCCAGAACGGCCAAGUGAUACUGUCGCGCUAGAGUGCAGAAGGGGCAAUCGGAAUUCUUGGUGUAGCGGUGAAAUGCGUAGAUAUCAAGAGGAACACCUGAGGUGAAGACGGGUUGCUGGGCUGACACUGACGCUGAGGCGCGAAAGCCAGGGGAGCAAACGGGAUUAGAUACCCAGGUAGUCCCUGAGCGGGCUGGCAAGGCGCAU